AACAAGGGCAUGUCUUUUGUUUUGCGUUGUGUGAUAUUAUUAUUCAUUGUCUUCACUUCUGCAUCCAUUCCAGUCACCACCCAAGCUGCUUCAGAUUUGCUUUUUGUUUCUCUCUCACAUCACAACAGAUUACUAUACAUAUAUGAAGAUGAGGAAACUGGGUAAUUUGCCGAGCUCUCCUCCUGCACCCCGCGGUUCCCCUCCUGACGCUCCGGGUCAUGGCGACUAAUCGAUUUUAUAUUUUAUUUCUUUAUAUGAACUGAAAUAAAUCUGCCGUUACGUUAUUAUACAAGUCAUUCCUUCAUGUUUA